GCGCUCUUAGUUAAGUUCGGUAGAACGCGGGUCUCCAAUCCUACAGAGCGUG
rnacentral:tRNA from 1 species